AACCGUUUUUAUUUAGUGUCUGGUCUUUUUCAUGAGUACUUACUCAGGUACAAAACUAUAAAAACGUCAAGCACGACUGCGGGCUGAGCAUGUGGAAAAAAAUAAAUCGUUUCAAUAAUUUAAUUUACCGUCUAUAUACGUUAUACUCGGGCUACAAUCUUGGGUAAAAUUAAAAAUACUAAAAUAAAACAUCGCCCGACGUUCGUCACCCAUACGAAAUCGGCCAUCAGUAUUCAGUAAUAGAUACUAAAGAAUAAAGAUAAUUUUACUUAUUUUUAUUUUGUUUUUACGUUCUGCCUUUUGGUAAUAAUUACCGGUGCGGAUUAUUGGAGACGAUAUUGUGGACUGUGGUAAUAACAUCAGCUAAUUAAUUAUCCAGCGUGAAUGAGCAGUAAGUACCUUAUAUUAGACUUAGAAAAAGACACUGAACACAUAAGGUUACAUAAGGAUACAUUGUCAACUCAAUGUUUGAUGAAGUAACUAAUUGAAAAACAAACGAUACAGAGGAUAUAAUUCAAUAUGGAACCAUUAAGAACAACAUUUGAUGAUUGCGUGAUAAAUUCCAAGUAUUAUGAUAUAAUAUACAGUACUAGAGUGUUGUCAAUCCCACUAGUAAGAUGUGAUGAUCAAGUAUU